rfam:Triticum aestivum genome assembly, contig: Triticum_aestivum_CS42_TGACv1_scaffold_591892_7BS
AAAGUACUCCCUCCAUCCCAAAAUUCUUGUCUUACAUUUUUCUAGAUACGGAUGUAUCAAGUCACCUUUUAGUAUUAGAUACACCCGUAUCUUGACAAAUCUAAGACAAGAAAUUUUGGACAGAGGGAGUAGUUG